UAAAGGUAGGGAUAGGCAUGAUCUCUUUCUCACCAAAUUUCUAAGACCAAACUCAACUUCGUUUGGAAAGUUAAAAUAAGACAAAUUUUGCAUGAAACUUCCCUAUCACUAUCCGUGCAAAGUUUGUAUUUCUUGUAUCUUGCAAGCAAAUUUGAAUUUGGUCUUGAAAUUUUGUGGAGAUAUAGACCAUGCCUAUACCUACCACUAAUAUUUAUG
rnacentral:pre_miRNA from 1 species